UACGUAGGGGGCUAGCGUUGUCCGGAAUCAUUGGGCGUAAAGCGCGCGUAGGCGGCCCGGUAAGUCCGCUGUAAAAGUCCAGGGCUCAACCCUGGAACGCCGGUGGAUACUGUCGGGCUAGAGUCCGGAAGAGGCGAGUGGAAUUCCUGGUGUAGCGGUGGAAUGCGCAGAUAUCAGGAGGAACACCAAUAGUGAAGGCAGCUCGCUGGGACGGUACUGACGCUAAGGCGCGAAAGCGUGGGGAGCGAACAGG
rnacentral:rRNA from 1 species